ensembl:lncRNA
GGUAAUGUUCUCGAAUUUACAACAGAAAUGUCAGGGGCUGUUCAUAUCUACAUUCAUCAUGACUGUAAAUAUAAUUCUGAAAAACAAUUAGCUAAACUAACAGAGUGCUAUCUUCAUCAUAAUGAGGCCCAUUUUGUCAACCCAUGUUAUGCACUAAUCAAGUCAUUUGCAGUGUGCUAUCAACCACGGAGUUCAAACCAACUCCAUGUUAAUGCAGCGCCUCUUCAACCUCAAGAGGCUGAAGAAAUGUGGCUUCUCACCAAAAGCACUCAAACUUCUACAGAUGCACAAUCGAGAGCAUCCUGUCGGGCUGUAUCACUGCCUGGUACGGCAACUGCUCCACCC